rnacentral:rRNA from 1 species
GAUCCUGGCUCAGGAUGAACGCUGGCGGUAUGCCUAACACAUGCAAGUCGUACGAGAGUUUUUAACUCUAGUGGCGGACGGGUGAGUAACACGUGAGAAUUUGCCUUUAGGAGGGGGAUAACAAUUGGAAACGAAUGCUAAUACCCCAUAUGCUUUUGAGUGAAACGGAUUUAUCCGCCUAGAGAGAAGCUCGCGGCUGAUUAGCUUGUUGGUAAGGUAAGAGCUUACCAAGGCGACGAUCAGUAUCUGGUUUGAGAGGACGAUCAGACACACUGGAACUGAGACACGGUCCAGACUCCUACGGGAGGCAGCAGUGGGGAAUUUUCCGCAAUGGGCGAAAGCCUGACGGAGCAAUACCGCGUGAGGGAAGAAUGCCUAUGGGUUGUAAACCUCUUUUUUCAGGGAGGAAUAAAAUGACGUGUACCUGAAGAAUAAGCAUCGGCUAACUCCGUG